rnacentral:rRNA from 1 species
GUCUGAAUAUGGGGGGACCAUCCUCCAAGGCUAAAUACUCCUGACUGACCGAUAGUGAACCAGUACCGUGAGGGAAAGGCGAAAAGAACCCCGGCGAGGGGAGUGAAAAAGAACCUGAAACCGUGUACGUACAAGCAGUGGGAGCCUCUUAAUGGGGUGACUGCGUACCUUUUGUAUAAUGGGUCAGCGACUUAUAUUCUGUAGCAAGGUUAACCGAAUAGGGGAGCCGAAGGGAAACCGAGUCUUAACUGGGCGUUAAGUUGCAGGGUAUAGACCCGAAACCCGGUGAUCUAGCCAUGGGCAGGUUGAAGGUUGGGUAACACUAACUGGAGGACCGAACCGACUAAUGUUGAAAAAUUAGCGGAUGACUUGUGGCUGGGGGUGAAAGGCCAAUCAAACCGGGAGAUAGCUGGUUCUCCCCGAAAGCUAUUUAGGUAGCGCCUCGUGAAUUCAUCUCCGGGGGUAGAGCACUGUUUCGGCAAGGGGGUCAUCCCGACUUACCAACCCGAUGCAAACUGCGAAUACCGGAGAAUGUUAUCACGGGAGACACACGGCGGGUGCUAACGUCCGUCGUGAAGAGGGAAACAACCCAGACCGCCAGCUAAGGUCCCAAAGUCAUGGUUAAGUGGGAAACGAUGUGGGAAGGCCCAGACAGCCAGGAUGUUGGCUUAGAAGCAGCCAUCAUUUAAAGAAAGCGUAAUAGCUCACUGGUCGAGUCGGCCUGCGCGGAAGAUGUAACGGGGCUAAACCAUGCACCGAAGCUGCGGCAGCGACGCUUAUGCGUUGUUGGGUAGGGGAGCGUUCUGUAAGCCUGCGAAGGUGUGCUGUGAGGCAUGCUGGAGGUAUCAGAAGUGCGAAUGCUGACAUAAGUAACGAUAAAGCGGGUGAAAAGCCCGCUCGCCGGAAGACCAAGGGUUCCUGUCCAACGUUAAUCGGGGCAGGGUGAGUCGACCCCUAAGGCGAGGCCGAAAGGCGUAGUCGAUGGGAAACAGGUUAAUAUUCCUGUACUUGGUGUUACUGCGAAGGGGGGACGGAGAAGGCUAUGUUGGCCGGGCGACGGUUGUCCCGGUUUAAGCGUGUAGGCUGGUUUUCCAGGCAAAUCCGGAAAAUCAAGGCUGAGGCGUGAUGACGAGGCACUACGGUGCUGAAGCAACAAAUGCCCUGCUUCCAGGAAAAGCCUCUAAGCAUCAGGUAACAUCAAAUCGUACCCCAAACCGACACAGGUGGUCAGGUAGAGAAUACCAAGGCGCUUGAGAGAACUCGGGUGAAGGAACUAGGCAAAAUGGUGCCGUAACU